GUCGUUAUGACAGUUAAGCGAAAUUGACGUGCAUCGCAACUCGAAUUACAAAUGACGUUAGGACGCAAAACGUAUCUGGAUUUCAUGAUAUAUCAUUUUUGUUCUCUGCUUAAACAGAGCAUAUUUUUUCAUCAAUUUAGGAAUCUGAAUAGUUUUUAAAUGAAUAAUCCAUAAUCCCCCUUCUUCUUUAAAUUCAAUGGUCAUCCCUUUAUGAGCGAAGAGACAAAGGCAAUAAGUCUAAAUUAUAACAAUUCUCGUUAUUUCACAAAUUUUCUGUAUGUCUUUACGGUUUAAAAUUUACAUUUACAAAACCAAUUAGUUGUUUUUAUAAUAAUUAUGAUUGAUAUCUUAAUACAAAAUUUCUCUCUGUGAUAACAAUUAUAGUUCAAGUGGUGUCGUUUUGCACUGCCACUUAAAGUUGUCUUUAAACGGUAUUUUCUAAAUUGUCAUUUAAGUGCAAGGAUAAUUAGCUAUACAACCAUCUUCAACCGACCAAUUGUUUUCUUAAAAUGCCCUGUAUCAAGCCAGGAAUAUGUCAGUUGUUAUGAAAUCGUCCGUUUCUAUGUAUGUUGGUGUUUGUUUUUGUUCCAAUCAGUGUUUCUAUAGUUCCGUUGCUUUCCUCUUAUAUUUGAUGUGUUCCCGUCGGUUAUAAUUUGUUAUACAUAUUUGUUUUCGCUUAAUCAAUAUAUGACUAUUGAACAGCAGUAUACUAUUGUUGCCUUUAUUGGACACAAUCGUUUCUUUCUUCCAAUUGCGAUCAUUUCUAUAUCCUUCAUUACACGACUAAUCAU
rnacentral:lncRNA from 1 species